UAUAGGUUGAAAAAAGGAAGUGACGUGCCUGUCCCGUCCUCAGGGGCGCGGCCUCGGCGAAGUCAGUCUGCUCCUAGCUUCAGGGCUGCGCACCCUCCUCUUUUUCUUAGGGACGGCUCCCCGAAGUGUCUAUUGAUAUUGUGGCUGUGGCAUCACCAAGCCUACAUCCGGAAGGGCCCCAGCCUGUGCACUAGAGAGGCUCCACGAUCAAACGCUGCUGAUUGGCUCUCUCCCCUCGGAGGCCGUCCUUACUCCUUUCCAGCUCCCUCUUGGGCUGUGCGGCCCUUAGGAGAACCAACGCCAACACCCGAGGGAGGCAGCGAGGCGUGCCCUCAGGAUGCCAUUGGUUUCACGGCUCAUUGGGUGGGAAGUGCAGCCGCUCUUGUUGCUCAUUGGUUUUGUGAUUCAGUGGGUGGAACUCGGCCGGGCCUAAACUCCAUCCGCGGCUGGGGACCGGUUUCAGGCACAGCUGCCAUGCGUUCCGGGGGCCGCGGACGGCCCCGGCUGCGGCUCGGAGAACGCGGCCUUCUGGAACCACACUCACUGCCCAAGCGCCGCCUGCUACCGCGGCUGCAGCUGUUGCCGCUGCUGCUGGCUGUGGCCGUGGGCUUGGCGCUCUACAUCGUCUGGAGCGGCUGGCACCGCGGCACUGAGGAGCUGUCAAGGGGCCGGGAGUUGCGGGCUCCGCUAGUUGGAAACCUCCCUGAAGCAAAGCUGCGGAAGGUGGUGGGACAGCUGGAUCCUCAGCGGCUCUGGAAUACUUAUUUGCGUCCUCUGUUGAUUGUUCGAACCCCAGGUAGCCCCGGUAAUCUCCAAGUCAGAAAGUUCCUGGAAUCCACACUGCGGGCCCUGACAGCUGGCUGGCAUGUGGAACUGGAUCCCUUCACAGCCUCAACGCCUCUGGGGCCACUGGACUUUGGGAACGUGGUGGCUACACUGGACCCAGGAGCUGCCCAUCACCUUACCCUCGCCUGCCAUUACGACUCGAAGUUCUUCCCCCCGGGCUCAGCCCCAUUUGUGGGAGCCACGGAUUCAGCUGUGCCCUGUGCGCUGCUACUGGAGCUGGUUCAGGCUCUGGAUCUGCUUUUGAGGAGGGCCAAGCAGCAGGCAGCCCCAGUGACCCUGCAACUGCUCUUCUUGGACGGCGAAGAGGCGCUGAAGGAGUGGGGACCCAAGGACUCCCUUUAUGGCUCCCGGCACCUAGCCCAGCUCAUGGCGUCCAUGCCCCACAGUCCUGGCCCCACCAGGAUCCAGGCCAUUGAGCUCUUCGUGCUGCUUGAUCUCCUGGGAGCCCACAGUCCGACCUUCUAUAGCCACUUCCCCCACACGAACCGCUGGUUCCAUCGGCUGCGUAGCAUCGAGAAGCGUCUGCACCGUUUGAACCUGCUGCAGGCUCACCCCCAGGAAGUGAUGUACUUCCAGCCCGGGGAGCCGCCCGGCUCUGUGGAAGAUGACCACAUCCCCUUCCUCCGCAGAGGGGUCCCGGUGCUGCACCUCAUCGCCACACCCUUCCCCUCUGUGUGGCACACACCCGGCGACACAGAGGCCAAUCUCCACCCGCCCACUGUGCACAACCUCAGCCGCAUCCUGGCCGUGUUCCUAGCUGAAUACCUAGGGCUGUAGCCCGAGGGACCUUACUCUCAGGGAGCACCACCCGGAGAGUUCGCACCCAGGGUGCCUGGCACCAGCGGAGCCGGACUGGGCCCACCAUAGGUGUGCUGGCUUCUCCCGUUCCACAUCCUGGGCUCCUAGAAAGGACCCACUUUCCUUUGACUCUCCCAAGAUGCCACCCUGCGGGGACAUGGAAAGGACCACAGUGGCAGUGAGAGCCAAAGGAGUAACAGCUCGGUCCACUUGGUCUGAAGGUCUGCAGGGACCAAAUGCUGUGCUUUCCAUCAGCAAACUGUGGAUAGCGUCUGGACCAGCACUACUCAACUAAAUGAAUCCUCUGAAUCUGAAGUUUUCACAUCAGUUCAUGCUCCACUCGAUGCAGAAAGGGAACCAAGGAGGUGGAAGCCAAGGCUUCAGUGCUCCUAAUUUAUACCUGAGCCAAUGGGCAGUAAACCAGUGUUUUCAAGGGAUUAGAGAUCAAAGUAGCAGGUAAAACAUUCAGUGAGUCUCCUCGCUGCAUCAUGGGAAUUUUGCAUAAGACAGAAGGCAGUGGUUCCCAAAGUAUUUCACCAUGGAACCUCUGUAAGAAACACCUCACAAAACCAGGGUACCUCAGAAGACACUUUGGGAAACCCUGGGUUUGGAACAUCUGAGAGGGUUUCAGAUUAAGAAACAGCUUCUGCUGGGCGUGCUGGCACAUGCUUGCAAUCCCAGUACUCAGGAAGAACUCUAGUUCAGACCAGACUACUAAGAAUAUAGUAAAACCCUGCCUCAAAAAGAGAGGAGGGAGACGGAAGGAGGAAAAAAGAAAAACAAAGUAAGCUUCAGAGGAACCAAUUGCCUAAGCUCACAGAGCUGGGUGCCUCUGGGACCAUGUGUCUGGGUGUACAUUUUUUAUCAUUUAGUCUUUGCACCAUUCUAAUUCCGCAAUGUAUGGUAGCUUUUGCUCUAUGCUUCAUAACCUUCGAGUGUGUUUCUGUGCUUCCUAUAAUCAGCUUUAUUUCAGUAAGCCUUUCUUUAGUUGUGUCUAAUUUGCCCUUGAACCCAGUUGUGGAGUUUUUGAAUUUUGGUCACUCUUUUUAUUAUUUCUGAAAGUAUUACCUUU